rnacentral:rRNA from 1 species
GAUGAACGCUGGCGGCGUGCCUAAUACAUGCAAGUCGAGCGAACAGACGAGGAGCUUGCUCCUCUGACGUUAGCGGCGGACGGGUGAGUAACACGUGGAUAACCUACCUAUAAGACUGGGAUAACUUCGGGAAACCGGAGCUAAUACCGGAUAAUAUAUUUAACCGCAUGGUUCAAUAGUGAAAGACGGUUUUGCUGUCACUUAUAGAUGGAUCCGCGCCGCAUUAGCUAGUUGGUAAGGUAACGGCUUACCAAGGCAACGAUGCGUAGCCGACCUGAGAGGGUGAUCGGCCACACUGGAACUGAGAACCGGUCCAGACUCCUACGGAGGGCAGCAGUAGGGAAUCUUCCGCAAUGGGCGAAAGCCUGACGGGGCAACGCCGCGGGGGUGAUGAAGGUCUUCGGAUCGUAAAACUCUGUUAUUAGGGAAGAACAAAUGUGUAAGUAACUAUGCACGUCUUGACGGUACCUAAUCAGAAAGCCACGGCUAACUACGUG